rnacentral:rRNA from 1 species
AGAGUUUGAUCCUGGCUCAGGAUGAACGCUAGCGACAGGCCUAACACAUGCAAGUCGAGGGGCAUCGGGGCGUAGCAAUACGCUGCCGGCGACCGGCGGAUGGGUGAGUAACGCGUAUGCAACCUGCCUUCAGCAGGGGGAUAGCCCGUUGAAAGACGGAUUAAUACCCCAUAACACAGGGGCUCCGCAUGGAGAUUAUUGUUAAAGGGACACUUCCUUCGGGGGGUAUUCCGGCUGAAGAUGGGCAUGCGUUCCAUUAGGUAGUUGGUUGAGGUAACGGCUCACCAAGCCUACGAUGGAUAGGGGAACUGAGAGGUUGGUCCCCCACACUGGUACUGGGACACGGACCAGACUCCUACGGGAGGCAGCAGUGAGGAAUCUUGGUCAAUGGACGGAAGUCUGAACCAGCCAUGUCGCGUGAAGGAGGACGGCCCUAAGGGUUGUAAACUUCUUUUGCAGGGGAAUAAAGUAUUCCACGUGAUGGGAUAUUGCAAGUACGCUGCGAAUAAGGAUCGGCUAACUCCGUGCCAGCAGCCGCGGUAAUACGGAGGAUCCGAGCGUUAUCCGGAUUUAUUGGGUUUAAAGGGUGCGCAGGCGGGAAGUUAGGUCGGCGGUGAAAUUUCGGGGCUCAACCCCGAGAGUGCCGUUGAAACCGGUUUUCUUGAGUGCGGAUGAGGUAGGCGGAAUUUGUGGUGUAGCGGUGAAAUGCGUAGAUAUCACAAGGAACACCGAUUGCGGAGGCAGCUUACUAAACCGUUACUGACGCUCAUGCACGAAGGCGUGGGGAUCAAACAGGAUUAGAUACCCUGGUAGUCCACGCAGUAAACGAUGAUUACUAGCUGUUUGCGAUACAGUGUAAGCGGCUUAGCGAAAGCGUUAAGUAAUCCACCUGGGGAGUACGUUCGCAAGAAUGAAACUCAAGGAAUUGACGGGGGCCCGCACAAGCGGAGGAACAUGUGGUUUAAUUCGAUGAUACGCGAGGAACCUUACCCGGGCUUGAAUGCAUCCGACGUAU